GGAGGCGGAUAGGUCCUGGUGGGUCUUCUGGACUUCAAAUCCAGCAAGGGGCGGCAGAAACCGUCUCUGGUGGGUUCGAUUCCCACACGCUUCCGCCA
rnacentral:tRNA from 1 species